rnacentral:lncRNA from 1 species
GGCAAACACCGAGCUCCCCCUGAGCCGCCUGGGAGCAGGGAGGGUUCUGCUACCCUGAGGGGCCCUCCCCGCGGGGCAGAGGGGACCAGCCCAACAUGGCUUCCAACACAGAGACCAGAAGGACCCAAUAAGAGACCGAAGACACGACUGAUAAUACAGAAAGGAGGGUGAUGCUGUGUGCAAGGCAGAUACAAGAUGGUUUUUCCAUAAGAGGAAGUGAUCAUGGCAACCAUGACCUUCUCUGACCUUCUCUCUUCCAAGAGGCUGUUGGGAAGGUGGGAUGACCUAGGAUUGACCUUGGACUUGACAUCACAGAAGCCAUUUCAACCUUCACAGAGGAGUGUUCCACUGACUGACCUCUUUUUGUUUUCAAAUGAAGAGGAGCCAAGAAUAGGACAGCUUGGGAAGGUGAGCUGCGUAUAGCUCGUCAGGCUGAGCUCAUCCUCGUCUACGGCCAAACGUUGGUUUCUCAUUUCUAGAAGAUGAAAGAUGUGAUGACUCAGGAAAAACUUGCUGCUCGAGAUGUGAGUCUUCAGAUGUUCCUGCCGCCAUAUCUGACAGCUGCUGCCAAGAUUCCCUGGUGGGAUGGACUCUUAUACCUCAACAACCAGAAGCCCAAGUAAACUCUUCUAUAAAUUGAAUGACUCAUGCUUAAAAAAAAAAACAAAAAACAAACUAUCUUUA